GACGAACGCUGGCGGCGUGCUUAACACAUGCAAGUCGAACGGAAAGGCCCUGCUUUUGUGGGGUGCUCGAGUGGCGAACGGGUGAGUAACACGUGAGUAACCUGCCCUUGACUUUGGGAUAACUUCAGGAAACUGGGGCUAAUACCGGAUAGGAGCUCCUGCUGCAUGGUGGGGGUUGGAAAGUUUCGGCGGUUGGGGGUGGACUCGCGGCUUAUCAGCUUGUUGGUGGGGUAGUGGCUUACCAAGGCUUUGACGGGUAGCCGGCCUGAGAGGGUGAACGGCCACAUUGGGACUGAGAUACGGCCCAGACUCCUACGGGAGGCAGCAGUGGGGAAUAUUGCACAAUGGGCGGAAGCCUGAUGCAGCAACGCCGCGUGCGGGAUGACGGCCUUCGGGUUGUAAACCGCUUUCGCCUGUGACGAAGCGUGAGUGACGGUAAUGGGUAAAGAAGCACCGGCUAACUACGUG
rnacentral:rRNA from 1 species